UCUUACUCGGUACAGUCUAGCUUCGAACUCGAAAUCUUCUCGUCACCAUGUCCUGAGUUUUAAGUUCCCAGCCGCCACUACGCUGGCCUUGCCAGGCGUUUUCUUGUUUGUCUUUUUUUUGUGGUGUGUUCCCAAGGCCAAGCAGAAACUCGGGAAGUCCAUAGCUCCAGAUUGCGGUUAGCCGAGGGCCCUGAAACACACCAGUGUACAGAUGGCAGCAAAUUGGUCACCCUGGUCUCAAGAAGUGUACUGGAUACGCGGUGCGGUGUGGCGUUCCGGUAGCUCGCCGUGAUCGUAUAGUGUUUGUUUAAAUGGUGGAUCACAUUGAUGGAUUUUUGUAUGUUGAACCAUCCCUGCAUCCCCAGGAUGAAGCCUACUGGAUCUUGGUGGAUGAUGUUUUUGAUAUGUUCUUGGAUUCAGUUUGUGAGUGGCGGCGAUUGAACUCAGGUCCUCCGGCUUAGUGGCAGUGAGUCUCCUUGCCUGCCUGUCUCCAGUAACCUCACAGGCCUGUGUGCUGACCAUCACUUCCAUUUGACUGAAGUGGAGAUCGAGGCUCCAGAAAGUUAAAUACUCUCCCAU